rnacentral:rRNA from 1 species
AUGCUCAUGCAUUGUUCUAUCAAGGAUGAGAUGGGGUUCUUUGAACGUUACUGCGCUAGCAUGUACGAUGAUAUCCAACAUGGGUUGCGUCGUGCCCUAGGUAAUCUAAACUAUGUUGUUCCUCCUGAAAAAUUGAGAAAUAUGCUUCUUGAUGAGUUGGCUGACAUUUUCUUGAAACGUGAUUCUGAUAUAAGAAGUUUUAACUUGCCGUCUCGCUCUGGCGAAGGUGAGCAGUCUGAUGAUAAUCGUCUAAUUCGUGAGGAACUGUCUUAUGAUGCAUGUGCUCUGUCUAAACAGUCCUUGGUUAUGUUUGAUAGUUUAAAUGAGGACCAAUUGGUUGCUUAUAAGACGAUUGUAGAGUGUGUGCAGGCGGGGAGACCGGGCUUUUUUUUGUCUCUGGAUAUGGUGGUACUGGGAAGACAUACCUGUGGAGUGCAAUAUGUGCUUUCCUUAGGGGCGAGAGGAAGAUAG